UACGAAGGGUGCAAGCGUUACUCGGAAUUACUGGGCGUAAAGCGUGCGUAGGUGGUUCGUUAAGUCUGAUGUGAAAGCCCUGGGCUCAACCUGGGAAUGGCGGUGGAUACUGGAAAGCUGGAGUGCGGUAGAGGAGGGUGGAAUUCCCGGUGUAGCGGUGAAAUGCGUAGAGAUCGGGAGGAACAUCAGUGGCGAAGGCGGCCCUCUGGACCAGCACUGACGCUGAGGCACGAAAGCGUGGGGAGCAAACAGG
rnacentral:rRNA from 1 species